UACGUAGGGGGCAAGCGUUGUCCGGAUUUAUUGGGCGUAAAGAGCUCGUAGGUGGUUCGGUAAGUCGGAUGUGAAAUCUCCAGGCUCAACCUGGAGGGGUCAUUCGAUACUGCCGUGACUAGAGGUCGGUAGGGGAGUGUGGAAUUCCUGGUGGAGCGGUGAAAUGCGCAGGUAUCAGGAGGAACACCCGUAGCGAAGGCGGCACUCUGGGCCGAUACUGACACUGAGGAGCGAAAGCGUGGGGAGCGAACAGG
rnacentral:rRNA from 1 species